UUGUAAGAGCACUAACACAUAUGUUCUCUUCCUACCUCACCUUGUUUCCCUCCCUGGAUGGUUGGAUAAAACAGUGCCAAGAAGAUUUUGAUAUGCAGAUUUAUCAGCAUAACUUGGAAACUGUUCAACUGAAAGUCUUGAGGUUUCUGUCACACAAGGGAGUAACCAUCAUGGUCAUGAGAAAGGACACGUCAGGUUGAACUUGGCUGAGAUCUGCGGUAACCACAAAAAUCUGUUAUCUCCAGAGUGAUCAGGAGCAAGGUGAAAGGAAAGCAGCCCAGAGCUUUGUGCUUGGAGAAGGCCAGGACAGACUGACAGUGAGACCACACAGUUUUCUUCCCUGCCUCCCUCCUUCCUUCCCCCGCGCCCCUCCUCCCUGGCAGAGCAGAUUGAUCCACUGUUAUCUGAUUAGAGAGGAAAGAAGGAGGAAAAACAAAAGCAAGACUAAAAAUAAAAAGAAGUGUAAUUUUAUUACA